GAAAAGUGGGACAUUUUAGGAAUAUUUCAUUGGUUAAAUUGACCAAAAAAAACUGUAAAGUACUGGGUCAGCAAGAAAAGGGAACCAAAGAUGACUCCUCUUUUUCUGGCUUUUGAAACUGGAUAGAUGUUACUGCCAUUCCCAAAGAAAACAAGACCAGAUUCGGGAGACAGAUCAGAGGCUGGAUUUUGGACACAUUAUAUUUGAGAUGCCUGUGAGAUAUCCAAGCAGAGAGAUCAAAUAAGGUGUUGAACACAGAGAGGAGAAAGCUGAGUCCAAGAUUAAAUUUGUUAAAUCUUGGCCAGAUCCCACAGCUCUGAUGAUCAUGCUUAGGUGGCAAGAUAAUAUUCUGGCAUUUAAAAAUCAAUUUCAGUCUAAUGACCACAAAACAACAGUCCAAUCUAGGAUAAUAAUUGAAACUCUUGAACCUGUGAGUACCCCAGUUACGUCAGUUCAAUCCUCUCACCAACCACCCCAUUCGCUUCUCUCAACUCCACUACCUUCUCCCCACUCACCUGGUUGACCAGAAGUAAAUGGUCAGAGAUUGCUAACCCUCCAGCCAAUCACACAGCCCCACCCUGUGUGAUCUGGAGCAAGCCACUGAAACCCUGUGGCUCCAUGUCAUUACCUCUAAAAUGCUGAUAUUUUGUCUACCUCACUGGAUUCUCACGAGGCUUAAAUGAAAGUAUUCUGAACAGCAUCUGACACUUGAUAAGCCCCCAGUACCUGUUAACAAUGACUAUUCCUAGUGCCUUCCUCUCUUCUGCCUACAAGUAUGCUUUGUAAUAAAUCAAUGGCACUACCUU
rnacentral:lncRNA from 10 species